AGAGUUUGAUCCUGGCUCAGGACGAACGCUGGCGGCGUGCCUAACACAUGCAAGUCGAGCGAGGGACUUCGGUCCCUAGCGGCGGACGGGUGAGUAACACGUGGGCAACCUGCCUCAUAGAGGGGGAUAGCCUCCCGAAAGGGAGAUUAAUACCGCAUAACAUCAUGCUUUCGCAUGGAAGUAUGAUUAAAGGAGCAAUCCGCUAUGAGAUGGGCCCGCGGCGCAUUAGCUAGUUGGUGAGGUAACGGCUCACCAAGGCGACGAUGCGUAGCCGACCUGAGAGGGUGAUCGGCCACAUUGGAACUGAGACACGGUCCAGACUCCUACGGGAGGCAGCAGUGGGGAAUAUUACACAAUGGGCGAAAGCCUGAUGCAGCAACGCCGCGUGAGUGAAGAAGGCCUUCGGGUUGUAAAGCUCUGUCUUUUGGGACGAUAAUGACGGUACCAAAGGAGGAAGCCACGGCUAACUACGUGCCAGCAGCCGCGGUAAUACGUAGGUGGCAAGCGUUGUCCGGAUUUACUGGGCGUAAAGGAUGCGUAGGUGGAUAUUUAAGUGGGAUGUGAAAUACCCGGGCUCAACUUGGGUGCUGCAUUCCAAACUGGAUAUCUAGAGUGCAGGAGAGGAAAGUGGAAUUCCUAGUGUAGCAGUGAAAUGCGUAGAUAUUAGGAGGAACACCAGUGGCGAAGGCGACUUUCUGGACUGUAACUGACACUGAGGCAUGAAAGCGUGGGGAGCAAACAGGAUUAGAUACCCUGGUAGUCCACGCCGUAAACGAUGGGUACUAGGUGUAGGAGGGUCGAACCUUCUGUGCCGUCGUUAACACAUUAAGUACCCCGCCUGGGGAGUACGGUCGCAAGAUUAAAACUCAAAUGAAUUGACGG
rnacentral:rRNA from 1 species